rnacentral:rRNA from 1 species
CCUACGGGAGGCAGCAGUGGGGGAUAUUGCACAAUGGGGGAAACCCUGAUGCAGCGACGCCGCGUGUGGGAAGACGGUCCUCUGGAUUGUAAACCACUGUCCCCAGGGACGAAGAUGACGGUACCUGGGGAGGAAGCUCCGGCUAACUACGUGCCAGCAGCCGCGGUAAUACGUAGGGAGCGAGGGUUGUCCGGAAUUACUGGGUGUAAAGGGAGCGUAGGCGGGACUGCAAGUUGGGUGGCAAUUCUACCGGCUCAACCGGUGGCCGCACUCAAAACUGCAGUUCUUGAGUGAAGUAGAGGCAGGCGGAAUUCCUAGGGUAGCGGUGGAAUGCGUAGAUAUUAGGAGGAACACCAGUGGCGAAGGCGGCCUGCUGGGCUUUUACUGACGCUGAGGCUCGAAAGUGUGGGGAGCAAACAGGAUUAGAUACCCUUGUAGUC